CUAUAAAUUUCAUUGUUGCCGGUAAUGACAUGUAGAAUAGGACUCUAUCUUUAUUCUCGUCCGAUUAAUU
rnacentral:tRNA from 1 species